GUUUUUUAUUGGAGAGUUUGAUCCUGGCUCAGGACGAACGCUGGCGGCGUGCUUAACACAUGCAAGUCGAACGGAAAGGCCUCUUUCGGGGGGUACUCGAGUGGCGAACGGGUGAGUAACACGUGAGUAACCUGCCCUUGACUUUGGGAUAACUUCAGGAAACUGGGGCUAAUACCGGAUAGGAGCUCCUGCUGCAUGGUGGGGGUUGGAAAGUUUCGGCGGUUGGGGAUGGACUCGCGGCUUAUCAGCUUGUUGGUGGGGUAGUGGCUUACCAAGGCUUUGACGGGUAGCCGGCCUGAGAGGGUGACCGGCCACAUUGGGACUGAGAUACGGCCCAGACUCCUACGGGAGGCAGCAGUGGGGAAUAUUGCACAAUGGGUGGAAGCCUGAUGCAGCAACGCCGUGUGCGGGAUGACGGCCUUCGGGUUGUAAACCGCUUUCGCUCAUGACGAAGCUUUGUGUGACGGUAGUGGGUAAAGAAGCACCGGCUAACUACGUGCCAGCAGCCGCGGUGAUACGUAGGGUGCGAGCGUUGUCCGGAUUUAUUGGGCGUAAAGGGCUCGUAGGUGGUUGAUCGCGUCGGAAGUGUAAUCUUGGGGCUUAACCCUGAGCGUGCUUUUGAUACGGGUUGACUUGAGGAAGGUAGGGGAGAAUGGAAUUCCUGGUGGAGCGGUGGAAUGCGCAGAUAUCAGGAGGAACACCGGUGGCGAAGGCGGUUCUCUGGGCCUUUCCUGACGCUGAGGAGCGAAAGCGUGGGGAGCGAACAGGCUUAGAUACCCUGGUAGUCCACGCUGUAAACGGUGGGUACUAGGUGUGGGGUCCAUUCCACGGGUUCCGUGCCGUAGCUAACGCUUUAAGUACCCCGCCUGGGGAGUACGGCCGCAAGGCUAAAACUCAAAGGAAUUGACGGGGCCCCGCACAAGCGGCGGAGCAUGCGGAUUAAUUCGAUGCAACGCGAAGAACCUUACCUGGGUUUGACAUGGAUCAGGAGUGCUUAGAGAUGGGUGCGCCUCUUUUGGGGCUGGUUCACAGGUGGUGCAUGGCUGUCGUCAGCUCGUGUCGUGAGAUGUUGGGUUAAGUCCCGCAACGAGCGCAACCCUUGUUCACUGUUGCCAGCACGUUAUGGUGGGGACUCAGUGGAGACUGCCGGGGUCAACUCGGAGGAAGGUGGGGAUGACGUCAAGUCAUCAUGCCCCUUAUGUCCAGGGCUUCACGCAUGCUACAAUGGCUGGUACAAAGAGUUGCGAGCCUGUGAGGGUGAGCGAAUCUCGGAAAGCCGGUCUCAGUUCGGAUUGGGGUCUGCAACUCGACCUCAUGAAGUCGGAGUCGCUAGUAAUCGCAGAUCAGCAACGCUGCGGUGAAUACGUUCCCGGGGCUUGUACACACCGCCCGUCAAGUCAUGAAAGUUGGUAACACCCGAAGCCGGUGGCCUAACCUGUUGUGGGGGAGCCGUCGAAGGUGGGACUGGUGAUUAGGACUAAGUCGUAACAAGGUAGCCGUACCGGAAGGUGCGGCUGGAUCACCUCCUUUCUAAGGAG
rnacentral:rRNA from 2 species